rnacentral:lncRNA from 1 species
CUUGCUACUAAAUCAACCCAACAGGUUCUGCAUCUGUACUAGGCUUCCUGUGCCAACGAGAAUAUAUAAAACCAUCCUCCCCAAACACAAGCUGACACUGGGGGCUAAACCUGCCUGACAGUCCCAAGGAGCCUGGUGACCUGGGAGGAGCUCCUCAGAUGCAGGGACCAUUGCAGGCUGCGGCGCCCGUCCCAGGUGCAUCCUGGGCUACCCUGGGAAGGGCUGGGGAACAGCAAGAGCCAGAUCUGUGGUAAGGACACUCAUUUUAGAGACGUGAUGGAUUCAUUUAAUAUCUUUUCGCUACAAUUGCUUUGCAGUGCCUGCUCUUAAUGGCCUCCAAAGUUCCAUCCAAAUAUCUUUUGCUGGCAGUUUAGCUCUCUGGCUGGCAUUUUUGCUGGCAGAACUAACAGCUGGAUGCCUCCUUGAAUGGGAAACUUUCAUUGUCUUGUCUUCUCUCUUCUGAGUUUCCAGUGACUGCCCCAGGUCUGAGGCUGGAGCAGGGCUCUGACUGUGACACCCCUGCGUGGAGCCCAGUGGCUGACUUUCAGGAAGGACAGGUGAGUGUGGGGGAGUGGAGGCCUGUGCCUGACUAGGUGAGGGCCCAGGCCCAAGCUCCAAGGAAGAAAAGGGGAUGUGAGGAAGCAGGGUAUUUGUUGCCUGAGGCCCACCUCCAACACUUUGGGCAGAACACCUUAGCUCCAGAUGCACAAAACUCACAGGCUCUGGGCUGUGCAGCCCCCUGGGAACACUAACUAGCUGGCCUCAGAGUCUGUGGACCUCUGCAUGUGCCCUGGGUCAGAAGGCAUGACCUGUCUAACUGCCACAUGGCGUGUCUGUGCCAUGCUGCCAUCCUUCUCAGGGUCCUCUCUUCCCUAGCAUUCUGGCACACACCGGACAGAACCCCUUGACUGCUGCAGGGGUGGUUGGCCUGCUGGGACAUGUAUUUG